CUCGAUGGUGGGCUGGGCGAGAGCACCGCAAGGUGCGCCGGUAUUCAGAAUGGCCGGUAAGGUCACUCUUAUUCAGUCCACCUUCCUU
rnacentral:antisense_RNA from 1 species